rnacentral:lncRNA from 1 species
ACCCAUGCUGGCCCCAGGACCCCAGCCCCAGGCCAGACCCUCCAGUGCUCCUGCUGACCUUCCGUGUCUGCAGCCCGGCUUUGGACUGUGGAGAUGCCCUCAGCCUCUACUCAGUGGCUCCAGCCUCAUAUUUGCGUGCUAUACCUUUAACCUCAAGUCCUCUUGCUGCUAACUUAAGCUGCGACUGUCCAGGACCUGCACACACACACACAUGCACGCAUGCACACACACACACACAGAAGGUGAACACACAGGAUGAGGCCCUGAAAACUCAUUUCACCCGUGUACCUCACCCAAAAAUUCCCCUUUGUACUCCUAUCUUUAUCUCUAACUGACAGCAUGAAGGUAGCCCGAAGUCCCCUCACCCUGUCUGUCCUCCUGAUUCUCUAGCCCAGUUCCCUCUAGCUCCAGCACAGACUCUUAUCUCCAGCCCUGACUGCCGAAACCCUCCAGCCCCAGCUCCAGCCCCUCAGGAGGGGACUGCGUGGGAGGAAUGACUCCAGCAAGCCGGCAGCUGACCCGUCUCCUGCCUGCACGCCUCCCGCUGUGGUCCACUGCCGGUGGUCUUCAGCUCUCUCCUCGUCCCACCCCCAUGGUCUGCUGACAGCCCAGCUCAGUGCAUCCCUGCCAUCUCUGCUCUACCGCUGGUCCUCCCAACAACCAACUUACAGGUUUGGGGGCACACGUGAAGGUUUGACAUAUAGUAAACACAUGUCAUGGUGGUUUGUUGUACAGAUUAUUACAUCACCCAGGGUUUCACUCCCGUCACCCAGACUGGAGUACAAUGGUGCGAUCUCAGCUCACUGCAACCUCUGCCUCCUGGGCUUAAGCGAUUCUCCUGCCUUGGCCUCCCAAGUAGCUGGGAUUACAGGUGCCUGCCACCACUCCUGGCUAAUUUUUGUAUUUUUUGUAAAGGCGGAGUUUCUCCAUGUUGCCCAGGCUAGUCUCAAACUCCUGAGCUCAAGCAAUCCACCCGCCUCGGCCUCCCAAAUAAGUGGAAUUAUAGGUGUGAGCCACCACGCCGGCCCUGAUGUAUCAAUAUUAAAACAUUUUCUUCAGCCUACAA